GGGGCCGUAGUCUAGCCUGGCUAGGAUAGUGGCAACACCCUAAAGCCGGCCUGGGGAUCCACCCCGUAGAAAAAGGACCGGGUCGCCGGUGAACCCGGGUUCAAAUCCCGGCGGCCCCA
rnacentral:tRNA from 1 species